rnacentral:rRNA from 1 species
UGGCGGACGGGUGAGUAACGCGUGGGCAACCUGGCCUGUACAGGGGGAUAACACUUAGAAAUAGGUGCUAAUACCGCAUAAGCGCACAGAGCCGCAUGGCUCGGUGUGAAAAACUCCGGUGGUGCAAGAUGGACCCGCGUCUGAUUAGCUGGUUGGCGGGGUAACGGCCCACCAAGGCGACGAUCAGUAGCCGGCCUGAGAGGGUGAACGGCCACAUUGGGACUGAGACACGGCCCAAACUCCUACGGGAGGCAGCAG